rnacentral:rRNA from 1 species
AUGGCGAUUGAACCACUCCGUGACAAUCUGGAUGGCAUCGCAGCAACCGACCAACCAUACGAUGGUAAUUCCUCUUCCGAGAAGCAACUCACCGUGUACAACUACGACCUGAGUGAUCCACACUCGACAGUUCUUAACCCAGCCAACCAACCAAGCACAUAUCUGCUUGGUGGAGUCACUAGCAGCCUUGGACAAAACCAAGUUCCGAUUGCUGCAGGGGGUAGCCCUGAACACCGCCAGAUCAGAUCAAACGAUGCUCUUCACUACAUAAGCCAGAUGCUGAUGGAAGACGUCGACGAGAGGGUCGAUAUAUGCCAAGGGGAGGCUGCUCUCCAGGCUGCCGAGAAGCCAUUCCGUGACAUUCUUGGGGGGGUAUACGUGCCGGCUACUAAUUGGCCGCCAUUGCAUAGCAACAGCAAACCAGACAACUCUGAUAAGAGUGGGACCAGCCGUUACAAGAGGCUCAGGACCACUAGCUUCAGUAAUGACUAUUCCAGUUACAAUGUGUUACAGCCCUCAGCAACCCCGUUGAGUCCAUAUACCUGCAACAGGAGUCUUUUUCUACCAGACCAUCUAUUGGUAAGUGUUGGAUGGACUUCUGAAACUCUCUUCCCUGCCUUGCAUUGUCAGAGAGAUGUCGAGGAGGAAAAGAUGUUUGCUCCAAGUAUUUAUAAGCUGGUGAUAUAUUUAAAGAAUGACGUAUUUUAUACUUCCCAACUGACUACGAAGUUUAAAGUAGUAGAGAGGAGCGAAAAUGCAAUCUUUGAGGUGGCAGACCAAAGGAGCUGGGAUAUCUUUCAAGGAAGGAGCAAUAAACAUCAUGCCAUCACAAUUUGUGCUAUAAUUCGAAACGAAAAUUUUGACCGAGUUCUGCUAUGCUAUGGUCGGAAGAGUUUCGAUCGAAGAACAAGACUGCGAGAAAGAUGGCGGGGGAAGGAAACAAUAGCUCACAGAAAGGCCGGAGCGAAGGACGUCUGA